CACUCUAAUGAGACUGCCGGUGACAAACCGGAGGAAGGUGGGGAUGACGUCAAGUCCUCAUGGCCCUUAUGGGUAGGGCUUCACACGUCAUACAAUGGUCGGUACAGAAGGGUUGCCAACCCGCGAGGGGGAGCUAAUCCCACAAAGCCGAUCGUAGUCCGGAUCGCAGUCUGCAACUCGACUGCGUGAAGUCGGAAUCGCUAGUAAUCGUGGAUCAGCAUGUCACGGUGAAUACGUUCCCGGGUCUU
rnacentral:rRNA from 1 species